rnacentral:rRNA from 1 species
UAGGGAAUAUUGGACAAUGGGCGAAAGCCUGAUGCAGCAACGCCGCGUGGAGGAUGACGCAUUUCGGUGUGUAAACUCCUUUUAAGAGGGAAGAUUAUGACGGUACCUCUUGAAUAAGCACCGGCUAACUCCGUGCCAGCAGCCGCGGUAAUACGGAGGGUGCAAGCGUUACUCGGAAUCACUGGGCGUAAAGGGUGCGUAGGCUGACUUUUAAGUCAGGCGUGAAAUCCAAUGGCUUAACCAUUGAACUGCGCUUGAAACUGGGAGUCUAGAGUUCAGAAGGGGCAGAUGGAAUUAGUGGUGUAGGGGUAAAAUCCGUAGAUAUCACUAGGAAUAUCAAAAGCGAAGGCGAUCUGCUGGGAUGAUACUGACGCUGAGGCACGAAAGCGUGGGGAGCAAACA